rnacentral:rRNA from 1 species
UACGUAGGGGGCUAGCGUUGUCCGGAAUCAUUGGGCGUAAAGCGCGUGUAGGCGGUCCGGUAAGUCCGCUGUGAAAGUCGAGGGCUCAACCCUCGAAUGCCGGUGGAUACUGUCGGGCUUGAGUACGGGAGAGGCGAGUGGAAUUCCUGGUGUAGCGGUGAAAUGCGCAGAUAUCAGGAGGAACACCAGUGGCGAAGGCGGCUCACUGGCCCGGUACUGACGCUGAGAUACGAAAGCGUGGGGAGCAAACAGG